rnacentral:rRNA from 1 species
AACGAACGCUGGCGGCAGGCUUAACACAUGCAAGUCGAACGCACAUAUCUUUCGGGGUGUGUGAGUGGCAGACGGGUGCGUAACACGUAGGUGACCUGCCUUCAAGUGGGGAAUAACUGUCCUAACGGAUGGCUAAUACCGCAUACGUUCACGGCGUCAAGUCGUGAGUAAAGCCUUCGGGCGCUUGGAGAGGGGCCUGCGGCGGAUUAGCUAGUUGGUGGGGUAACGGCCUACCAAGGCGAUGAUCCGUAGGGGGCGUGAGAGCGUGGCCCCCCACACUGGCACUGAGAUACGGGCCAGACUCCUACGGGAGGCAG